CCUACGGGUGGCAGCAGUGGGGAAUUUUGCGCAAUGGGGGAAACCCUGACGCAGCAACGCCGCGUGCGGGACGAAGGCCUUCGGGUUGUAAACCGCUUUCAGCAGGGACGAAUUCCGCCGGUACCUGCAGAAGAAGCCCCGGCUAACUACGUGCAAGCAGCCGCGGUAAUACGUAGGGGGCGAGCGUUAUCCGGCUUCAUUGGGCGAAAGGCGCGCGGCGGCGGCGCGUCAAGCGGGGCCACUACCCCCGGGGCUCAACCCCGGGCCGGGUCCCGGACUGGCGCGCUCGAGUGCGGUAGAGGCGAGUGGAAUUCCCGGUGUAGCGGUGGAAUGCGCAGAUAUCGGGAAGAACACCGGUGGCGAAGGCAGCUCGCUGGACCGACACUGACGCUGAGGCGCGAAAGCUGGGGGAGCGAACAGGAUUAGAUACCCUAGUAGUC
rnacentral:rRNA from 1 species